AUCACAGGUCCUUCACCUAUUAGAAUAUGGGAGCUGCAGAGACGGGCCAGGACGGGAUUGCACAAUAGUGGACAUUGGGUAUUACUCCCAUCAUCCAUCUGAGAGCCUCCCCCUCACCCCCUAGUACAUGAGCAGAAGAUCCUAGGAGUCACCCACAAGAUCACUGAGCUGCUGACUAGAGAGGUUCCUGUAAGGUGUCAGGAUGUCCAUGGAGGACUGGGAGUAUAUAGAAGGACACUUGAUGGAGGACCACCGGCCCCUCACAUCACAGGAUGGAUCCAGGAGGAGAAAUCCCCCCGAGAGAUGUCCCCUUCCUCUGUAUUCCC